rnacentral:rRNA from 1 species
UACUAGAGUAGCACUCGCAUAUCAAUAAGCGGAGGAAAAGAAACUAACAAGGAUUCCCCUAGUAACGGCGAGUGAAGCGGGAAGAGCUCAAAUUUGAAAUCUUAAAGGGUUUCCCUUUACGAAUUGUAGUUUAAAGAAGUGUUUUCUGUUGAGGUUUUGGUAAAAGUUCUUUGGAAUAGGACAUCAUAGAGGGUGAGAAUCCCGUAUUUGACCUUUACUUUCAACUUUGUGAUACACUUUCAAAGAGUCGGAUUGUUUGGGAAUGCAGUCCAAAAUGGGUGGUAAAUUUCCAUCUAAAGCUAAAUAUUGGCGAGAGACCGAUAGCGAACAAGUACCGUGAGGGAAAGAUGAAAAGAACUUUGAAAAGAGAGUUAAACAGUACGUGAAACUGUCAAAAGGGAAGCGUUUGACACCAGUGUUGUUUUUCUGAAAAUCAAUUAAAGAACUGUUUAUGCUAAGCUGUUUAGACUUUAUCAGCUAUCUGUUUAGUUUUGAGCUUUUCUUUAAUGCACUUUUCAGUUAACAAGUCAACAUCAAUUUCUUUUGCUGUAAAAAAGCUUGAGGAAGGUGGCUUGAGAUUCGUCUUAAGUGUUUAUAGCCUCUUGCCUAUGCAGUCGGAGAGAUUGAGGUCUGCAGCGUAGAUCCUUCGGGGCUAAAUGCAUUUGUGCUAAGUUAUAGCAUUUUAUAGACAACUUGUUGACUAUGAUUUGUCUUGUAGCUUACUCGCUUAUGUUAUUUUACCUACGCUUAGGAUGUUGAGUCAUCACACAUCUCU